UUCGUGAGGGAGGGGCGGGACAGGGUGCCUGUGUCUGUGUAUAUAAUUAUUUAUUUAUUUAUUUAUUUAUUUGUAUUUAUAUUUAUAUUUAUAUUUAUAUUUAUAUUUAUAUUUAUAUUUAUAUUUGUGUUUAUGUCCGCGCGCACGGCGCGUUUCAAACGGCGCUGGCGGCUCCCGGCUCCACAGACUCACAGCCUGUCUGCGUUCAGUCACGGGCUGCACUCUCAGAGGUUUUUUUCCAACCUGACAAUGUGAUUUUGUGAAGCAAUGCCCAGAGGAUGGAUCCGGCUCUGCUCGGUGGUGCCCAGCAGCAGGAGAUGAGGCCAAGGGCAGAAACUGAUGCACAAAAAGCUCCACUGAACAUGAGGAAGAACUCCUUUGCUGUUUACUUCUUCUACUUUAAUUCUUUACAUUUUUACUGCACUGUCCCAGUGCAGGUGACCGUGCCCUGGAACAGACUGCCCAGAGCGGAGUCUCCCUCACUGGAGAUGUUCCAGAACCAUCUGAACACAGUUCUGUGCCGGGUGCUCUGGGGUGACCCUGGCUGAGCAGGGAGGCUGGACCAGACUGACCCUUCCAUUCUGGGAUUCUGUGAGGGGAAAUGCAAAAAGGGAUGCCUGUGCUGCAGGAAAAAUUGAAAAAACAACAAUUUUAAGAAACAUUAUUUUAAUGCGUGAGUUUGUGUGCUCAAGGUGAGAUGACAAAAUAUUUUCCCCCAUGUGUGUUUAAGUUGUAGUCUCAAAAGUUGUAACUCUGCCACACAAUUCCUUUGAGGUCAGAUUCCUCUCCAUGCAUGUAGCACCUGGACAGGCCCUGCACUGGGUGAAUGCAUUGGAGCAUCCUUUGUGUUCUAUUCAAGUACGUUGUCUUCUGAGUGCCAUGGUGAGAGCAAACUAUAGGGCAGCAAAGUUAUUAUUCUGUUUUUUAAUGUGGACUUUAUCCAUGCUUUAAAUUGCUGUACAUUUCUUUUUCUUGAGCCUUAUUUAAAAAGUGGAGGCAUUAAUUUAUAGAUCACCAAAGUGAAGUUAGAGAGUUUCCACUCCUGAAAUGCAUGCUUCCCAAAUAAAGUCAAUUAAAAGGCUA